rnacentral:rRNA from 1 species
UUCCGGUUGAUCCUGCCGGACCCGACUGCUAUCAGAGUGAGAUUAAGCCUUGCGAGUUAACGUAGCAAUACGUGGCGCACGGCUCAGUAACACGUAGUCAACAUGCCCAGAGGACGUGGAUAACCUCGGGAAACUGAGUCUAAACCGCGAUAAGUGAGGAUUUCUGGAAUGGUUCCUGACUAAAAUCUAUAUGGCCUCCGGAUUGGACUGCGGCCGAUCAGGCUGUUGGUGAGGUAAUGGCCCACCAAACCUGUAACCGGUACGGGCUCUGAGAGGAGGAGCCCGGAGAUGGGCACUGAGACAAGGGCCCAGGCCCUAUGGGGCGCAGCAGGCGAGAAACCUUAGCAAUGUGCGAAAGCACGACUGGGUCAGUCCGAGUGAUUCCUGAUAAAGGAGUCUUUUAUCUGUCCUAAAAGCACAGGUGAAUAAGGGGUGGGCAAGUCUGGUGUCAGCCGCCGCGGUAAUACCAGCACCUCGAGUGGUCAGGACGUUUAUUGGGCCUAAAGCAUCCGUAGCCGGCUUUGCAAGUCUUCGGUUAAAUCCACCUGCUCAACAGAUGGGCUGCUGGAGAUACUACAAAGCUAGGGAGUGGGAGAGGCAGACGGUAUUCAGUGGGUAGGGGUAAAAUCCUCUGAUCCAUCGAGGACCACCAGUGGCGAAGGCGGUCUGCCAGAACACGUUCGACGGUGAGGGAUGAAAGCUGGGGGAGCAAACCGGAUUAGAUACCCGGGUAGUCCCAG